rnacentral:rRNA from 1 species
CAGCCCACGGUAAUACGUAGGGUGCAAGCGUUAAUCGGAAUUACUGGGCGUAAAGCGUGCGCAGGCGGUUAUAUAAGACAGAUGUGAAAUCCCCGGGCUCAACCUGGGAACUGCAUUUGUGACUGUAUAGCUAGAGUACGGCAGAGGGGGAUGGAAUUCCGCGUGUAGCAGUGAAAUGCGUAGAUAUGCGGAGGAACACCGAUGGCGAAGGCAAUCCCCUGUGCCUGUACUGACGCUCAUGCACGAAAGCGUGGGGAGCAAACAGGAUUAGAUACCCGCGUAGUCCCUGUCUCUUAUACAC